rnacentral:rRNA from 1 species
GUGUCAGCAGCCGCGGUAAUACGAAGGGGGCUAGCGUUGUUCGGAAUCACUGGGCGUAAAGCGUGCGCAGGCGGCCUGAUAAGUCAGAUGUGAAAUCCCCGAGCUCAACUUGGGAACUGCGUUUGAAACUAUCAAGCUAGAAUAUGUCAGAGGGGGGUAGAAUUCCACGUGUAGCAGUGAAAUGCGUAGAGAUGUGGAGGAAUACCAAUGGCGAAGGCAGCCCCCUGGGAUAAUAUUGACGCUCAUGCACGAAAGCGUGGGGAGCAAACAGGAUUAGAAACCCGAGUAGUCC